GACGAACGCUGGCGGCGUGCCUAAUACAUGCAAGUUGAGCGCUGAAGGUUGGUACUUGUACCGACUGGAUGAGCAGCGAACGGGUGAGUAACGCGUGGGGAAUCUGCCUUUGAGCGGGGGACAACAUUUGGAAACGAAUGCUAAUACCGCAUAAAAACUUUAAACACAAGUUUUAAGUUUGAAAGAUGCAAUUGCAUCACUCAAAGAUGAUCCCGCGUUGUAUUAGCUAGUUGGUGAGGUAAAGGCUCACCAAGGCGAUGAUACAUAGCCGACCUGAGAGGGUGAUCGGCCACAUUGGGACUGAGACACGGCCCAAACUCCUACGGGGGGCAGCAGUAGGGAAUCUUCGGCAAUGGACGAAAGUCUGACCGAGCAACGCCGCGUGAGUGAAGAAGGUUUUCGGAUCGUAAAACUCUGUUGGUAGGGAAGAACGUUGGUGGGAGUGGAAAGCUCAUCAAGUGACGGUAACUACCCAGAAAGGGACGGCUAACUACGUG
rnacentral:rRNA from 1 species